rnacentral:misc_RNA from 1 species
UUGCAGCCCGACUUGAGUGGAAAUCCCCGCCGCGGCGGGAUUGGGAACGGAAGGCGGAAAUGCU